UACGGAGGGUGCAAGCGUUAAUCGGAAUUACUGGGCGUAAAGCGUGCGCAGGCGGUUUGUUACGUCUGUUGUGAAAUCCCCGAGCUCAACUUGGGAAUUGCAAUGGAUACUGGCAGGCUGGAGUAUGGUAGAGGAAGGUGGAAUUCCCGGUGUAGCAGUGAAAUGCGUAGAGAUCGGGAGGAACACCAGUGGCGAAGGCGGCCUUCUGGACCAAUACUGACGCUGAAGCACGAAAGCGUGGGGAGCAAACAGG
rnacentral:rRNA from 1 species